rnacentral:lncRNA from 1 species
GUGUAAACUGUGAGAUUUAUAACUCUAGUGGUGUUAUUUAGAUAAGGGGAUGAGAUGUGUGUCCUGUCAUCAUGGUCCAAUUUCAAAUGCUGAGCAAUUUAACAAGAUUUCUAGUUUUUACAAGUUCCUGAGCUGUUUGCGUCAAUAAGUAUCUGGGACACUGAGAUAAAUAACAAGAUUUGAUUAGACACCUUCAGAAGAUGGUUCUGGAGAACAAAAUCACAUGAAAAAGUACAGAGAAAGAAAUAAGAAAUGUGGAGCUCUACUGAACCACUACCAAAGGAUGCUGUCAAGUGAUUCAAAGACCACUGCAUUAAUUUUGAAUGGAUCAAUAGAUUGCGCUUCAAUCCCAGGCCAUAAACAGAUUUUGGGCAUAACCCAUGCCUGAAAGAGGAAAAUUCUUAACUAAUGUGAGUGUCUAAAUGUCACAGCAUGAGCUUCUUUUACUCUUGGGAAUAUGCAAAUUAGCUUGCUUUGGUUGGCAAUUGACCUUCAAAAUUUAAGC